rnacentral:rRNA from 1 species
GACGAACGCUGGCGGCGGGCUUAACACAUGCAAGUCGAACGGAAAGGCCCUGCUUUUGUGGGGUGCUCGAGUGGCGAACGGGUGAGUAACACGUGAGUAACCUGCCCUGGACUUUGUGAUAACUUCAGGAAACUGGGGCUAAUACCGGAUAGGAGCUCCUGCUGCAUGGUGGGGGUUGGACAGUUUCGGCGGUUGGGGAUGGACGCGCGGCUUAUCAGCUUGUUGGUGGGGUAGUGGCUUACCAAGGCUUUGACGGGUAGCCGGCCUGAGAGGGUGACCGGCCACCAUGGGACUGAGGUACGGCGCAGACUCCUACGGGAGGCAGCAGUGGGGAAUAUUGCACAAUGGGGCGAAGCGUGAUGAAGAAACGCCGCGUGCGGGAUGAAGGCCUUCGGGUUGUAAACCGCUUUCGCCUGUGACGAAGCGUGAGUGACGGUACUGGGUAAAGAAGCACCGGCUAACUACGUG